CUCAGAACCUGGUUCCUCUCUAUGUUUCUUCAAAGGCUCCGUCCUUUCUAGGGAGUCUUUCCUAGAUACCGUGCUUCCACGUCUGUAUUGCUGCUUGUUUCUGUACAGCACUUGGUGUAAAAAAUACUUUGUAAAUACAUUGACUAAAAUGUUUCGUACGCCACCUGGUGGACAUAUCCUAAAAAAAUGAUUUCUUUAUUACCACUAUACACAAAAUCACCUUGGAGCUCCUCAAGCCUUUUCAUCAUUAUUAUAUUGAUAUGAAAAUUUGGAGAAUAAUACUGAGACUGAUUAUAUUGCUUUAUUAAAUGAGUUUCACCUCUGUAGACGAAUACCUAUCACUGAGCAUGGACGGGAGAGAGAGAGGAGAGGGAGCGGAAAUGAGGGGGAGGGUGGAGGAGGGGGAGGAAAGGAGAUGGGAGGCAGCAUGGAGGGAGAAGAGAGGAGAUGCAGUGAGGGGAGGAGAGGGGGGGGAGGCAGUGGGGGGAGGAGGAGAGGGAGGCAGCGAGGGUAGAGGAGAGGAGAGGGAGGCAGCGAGGGUAGAGGAGAGGAGAGGGAUGUAGCGAGGGGAGAGGAGAGGAGAGGGCGGCAGCGAGGGGAGAGGAGAGCGAGGCAGUGAGAGGAGAGGAGGGGAGAGGAGAGGGAGGCAGGGAGGGGAGAGGUGAGGGAGGCAGCGAGGGGAGAGGAGAGGGAGGCAGUGAGAGGAGAGGAGAGGAGAAGGAGGCAGGGAGGGGAGAGGUGAGGGAGGCAGCGAGGGGAGAGGAGAGGGAGGCAGCGAGGGGAGAGGAGAGGGAGGCAGUGAGAGGAGAGGAGAGGAGAGGGAGGCAGCGAGGGGAGAGGAGAGGAGAGGGAGGGAGGCAGCGAGGGAAGAGGAGAGGAGAGGGAGGCAGCGAGGGGAGAGGAGAGGAGAGGGAGGGAGGCAGCGAGGGAAGAGGAGAGGAGAGGGAGACAGCGAGGGAAGAGGCGAGGAGAAGGAGGCAGCGAGGGGAGAGGAGAGCGAGGCAGUGAGGGGAGAGGAGAGGGAGGCAGCGAGGGGAGAGGUGAGGGAGGCAGCGAGGGGAGAGGAGAGGGAGGCAGCGAGGGGAGAGGAGAGGCGAGGGAGGCAGCGAGGGGAGAGGAGAGGAGAGGGAGGGAGGCAGCGAGGGGAGAGGAGAGGGAGGGAGGCAGCGAGGGAAGAGGAGAGGGAGGCAGCGAGGGAAGAGGAGAGGAGAGGGAGGCAGCGAGGGAAGAGGAGAGCGAGGCAAUGAGGGGAGAGGAGAGGGAGGCAGAGAGGGGAGAUGUGAGGGAGGCAGCGAGGGGAGAGGAGAGGGAGGCAGUGAGAGGAGAGGAGAGGAGAGGAGAGGGAGGCAGCGAGGGGAGAGGAGAGGAGAGGGGAGGGAGGCAGCGAGGGGAGAGGAGAGGAGAGGGAGGGAGGCAGCGAGGGAAGAGGAGAGGAGAGGGAGGCAGCGAGGGAAGAGGAGAGGAGAGGGAGGCAGCGAGGGAAGAGGAGAGGGAGGCAGCGAGGGAAGAGGAGAGGAGAGGGAGGCAGCGAGGGGAGAGGAGAGGGAGGCAGCGAGGGGAGAGGAGAGGAGAGGGAGGUAGCGAGGGGAGAGGAGAGGGAGGCAGCGAGGGAAGAGGAGAGGGAGGCAGCGAGGGGAGAGGAGAGGGAGGCAGCGAGGGGAGAGGAGAGGGAGGCAGUGAGGGGAGAGGAGAGAAGAGGGAGGCAGCAAGGGGAGAGGAGAGAAGAGGGAGGCAGCGAGGGGAGAGAGGAGAGAAGAGGGAGGCAGCGAGGGGAGAGGAGAGGGAGGCAGUGAGAGGAGAGGAGAGGGAGGCAGCGAGGGGAGAGGAGAGGGAGGGUGGCAGCGAGGGAAGAGGAGAGGAGAGGAGAGGGAGGCAGCGAGGGUAGAGGAGAGGAGAGGGAGGCAGCGAGGGGAGAGGAGAGGAGAGGAGAGGGAGGCAGCGAGGGAAGAGGACAGGAGAGGGAGGCAGCGAGGGGAGAGGAGAGGAGAGGGAGGUAGCGAGGGGAGAGGAGAGGAGAGGGAGGCAGUGAGGGGAGAGGAGAGGGAGGCAGCGAGGGGAGAGGAGAGGGAGGUAGCGAGGGGAGAGGAGAGGGCGGCAGCGAGGGGAGAGGAGAGGGAGGCAGUGAGCGGAGAGGAGAGGGAGGUAGCGAGGGGAGAGGAGAGGGAGGCAGUGAGGGGAGAGGAGAGGGAGCUAGCGAGGGGAAGAGGGAGGCAGUGAGGGGAGAGGAGAGGGAGGUAGCGAGGGGAGAGGAGAGGGAGGCAGUGAGGGGAGAGGAGAGGGAGGCAGCGAGGGGGAGGAGAGGAGAGGGAGGCAGCGA
ensembl:lncRNA